UUGGGAAAGAUUAGGCGUUUGCUGUGUGAUUUGGUGUUUUGUAUAAGAGAGAAAAUAAAAGGUGUGAUAACCAAUCCGAGUGGAUCAGCUUGAUUAUCAACCCCAACCUAUAUAAAAUAACAAAUCCCGAGGAAAUUGGAUACUUCUCUGGUCCUAAAUGGCAAAGGAACAGAUUAUCAAAGAAAAGACCAGCUGCUAAGGAUUCGCCGCCACGAUGGCUAGAGCUUGGAAUAGCUGCUGAUUACUCCGUGGUAGAUUUUCAUGGAAUUCGAGUACAACAAUAUAUCUUGGCUCUUUUAAACAUCGUCAGUGCAAUUUACAUGGAUCCAUCGCUCGAAUCCAACAUGAUUCUAGUGAUCGUACGAAUGAUUUUAUACGCGGAAAAACGAGACGGUAUGGUCGAUAAAAUGCAACGAGUUCCAUUUUGUUAAAUUGUUAAAUUAAAACCUCCCCUCAAGGACGGCCAGCAUCUCUUUCAAAACGCCGAUAUGGAGAUCGACCAAUUAGCAACAGCGCUCAUUUCCCUCACUUUUGGAACGAAA